GGUUGCGCGGCUAGACCGGUUUCUGCACGGCGAAGGUAUGGCAACGAAGAUACGUUGUUUUGUGGUUACAAUUGCUCACAACAGGGACCUUAUCAUCUAUAAUAUGAUUUUGAUGCUUGUUUUGUAAUUUUUCUUUUUUUGGGCGGAAGUUUUUUGCUGGGCACACGCAAGAACCCUUGCUUGGUAGAGGUAUAUAGCUUCGCUGUAAUUAUUGCUGACUUGUACACAGCACCAUGUGUAUCAUCUAAGCUUGGUAUCUUUAUUGUAAGGGAAGUUAUUGGUCCUGUUAUGUCACAGUAGCGAAGUGAUGGUAAAACUAAUGGCAUCUUCGGCUGGCUGUUUCUGAGCGCUUUAGACCGCUCUCGCGAGCGACUUUGCCUUUGGCUGGUUGAAAGAGGGUGCGCGCCUUGCGUUCGGCUGGUUUUUUUUCGGUUGGUCUUCUCCAUCUUCGAGAGCUCAGAGGCGCUCCCCGCCCUGUCGUCGGAGCAGUCGUCGAGAUGAGAGCGUUUCCAGCAACGUGAUCACAGCACAGCGUCGCCGUUCUUGGCGACGGUCCACCGUAGCCUAGGCAACCUAGGCCACAGCUUGCUGGCGUCUCAACGAACGGUCGUCCCACCGGCGCGUCUGCCGGUUUAGCUUUGGAUAGGCGAAACAUCGGACGUUAGCAGUAGUCAGGUGAUUUCGCAUCUGCCAUUUCCUCCUCCAUAGAGAAAGAACUUCAACAAGAGGGGACACUCGGCGAAAACUGGCAACAGAAAACACGUCACCAUACGACAUGCUAUAGUAUUUAUGCCGAACGUUAGCUGCCGCGAGCAUCGAAAAAAAAAAAGAAAGGGAAAUGAAGUUAGCAGACAUUGAUUUAUUUUUAAACUCUUUGCCGUGGAAACUAAAACGUUUUGCGUAUAAAUGAACUUAAACUUUUCGACUCAUUUUUCUUGCCUUACCUAGCGACAGGCCAAUCCAAUGACGCGCCAGAUGCAUGCGUCAUCCGCCAGACACUCCCCCCGAAGCCAUGCGAGGACGGCUGCGCGCGCGUUUGAGCGCUCGCGCGCGGCGACCCAUCUGUCUCAUUUUUUUUUAAUGUAACCUGCUUUAUUGGGCUCUCGGUGUAUUCUUGCGUUCCUUCUGCACUGGGACAAGACACCACUGCACUAUUGGACUACGGCAAGCUGAUGCCGUCCGGUGGAGCUUCAUACGUGAACUACUGCUUACCUGGGGUCACAACGUUGGAUGAACGCACAAAGAGCACGGCACGAGCUUUUAAAUACAGCAAAAUAAAUAUUUACUCAUUUCACAA